UCAUUUUAUAAUUCACAAUUAAUUCAAAUAAACACCCCUUGCGCACCUGGAAGGUCUUGCAACCUUCUUCAGGCAUAAUUCACCACUAAAUCAGGUUGGGUUGAGUACUGAUACAGGUUUCCCAAUUCAAUUCGGAUUCACAAGCUCUCAAUUCGAUUUUGCUUACAUAUAAAAUAAAUUCUCUCUCAGCUAAUGUUCUUAAUUAUAAAGGAAGCUUCUAGGCAACCCUCCUACUAGGUACAAUUUGAAAAUAUUAAUUUUACAAAUUAUAUUUUAUCACAUGUUUUUCAUCAAAGUGGUUACAUUUGAGCUUUUGAAAAAAUUUCAAAUUCAGUCUAUUCCAUCAAUUAAUGUUUCGAAAUUGCAUAUAUUAUGUUGCAUAUAUAUUUUUGUUGAAUUUGUAUUUUUUACUUGCAUAAUUUGUACUAUUUACAAGUAUUUCCACUGAUAUGUUGAACACAUGCUUAAUCAGUACUGCUUCUUUAAACCUGCGUGAAGUUGGCCCCCCACCCAACGCAAAACGUCGGCAAAAUAGUCUCAAUCGUUUGUGCUGUUUGUGCUGGUUUGUGCUGUAAACAUUUUCGUUUGUGCUGCUUCGGUUUUUUAGAUAUUAAAAUAAUAUUUAUAGGUCAUUCUGAGGUCAUUCAGCCCCCCACAUGCUCCAAAUUCACCCAAAAUUGGCUCAAUCGUUUGUGCUUCGUUUGUGCCGGUAAAAGUUUCGUUUGUGCUGCUUCGGUUUUAAAAUAUUAGACAUUGAAUUAUAGACGAUGACGUCACCCCCCACAUGCAAUAUAUAAAUCACUUACCCCAAACCUUUGAAUGGUUGUGUAUCAUGGUUUCCACGAAAAAAAAAAAAAAGCAGCACAACUGUUUUCAACUGAUAA